GACGAACGCUGGCGGCGUGCUUAACACAUGCAAGUCGAACGGAAAGGCCCUGCUUUUGUGGGGUGCUCGAGUGGCGAACGGGUGAGUAACACGUGAGUAACCUGCCCUUGACUUUGGGAUAACUUCAGGAAACUGGGGCUAAUACCGGAUAGGAGCUCCUGCUGCAUGGGGGGGGUUGGAAAGUUUCGGCGGUUGGGGAUGGACUCGCGGCUUAUCAGCUUGUUGGUGGGGUAGUGGCUUACCAAGGCUUUGACGGGUAGCCGGCCUGAGAGGGUGACCGGCCACAUUGGGACUGAGAUACGGCCCAGACUCCUACGGGAGGCAGCAGUGGGGAAUAUUGCACAAUGGGCGGCAGCCUGAUGCAGCAACGCCGCGUGCGGGAUGACGGCCUUCGGGUUGUAAACCGCUUUCGCCUGUGACGAAGCGUGAGUGACGGUAAUGGGUAAAGAAGCACCGGCUAACUACGUG
rnacentral:rRNA from 1 species